rnacentral:tRNA from 1 species
UGUCAGCUCAUGCGCUCCUAGCUCAAUUGGUAGAGCAGCGGUCUCCAAAGCCGCGAGUUCCAGGUUCGAGUCCUGGGGAGCGUGC